AAAAUCAUAUUAAUCUGAUGACAGUGUGUCAUUUAUUAGUGAUUUACUAAGAAAAUAUAAUUAUCACAAACAGGAUGUAGAUGAAGAAGUGAAGCCUAGAAGGAAGUGAAUGUAACGUUUCUGAUUAUUCUAAAGCUGUCUACUUGCCUUCUUGUAGGUCUGCUACGCUGUGGGUUACAACUUGAGGAAACAAAACAGACAAGGACCAACUACUCACUAAGGAGCAUGUGUGUCCAAACUCUAAAAGAGAGUUUUAACAGCCAGCAAAGUGAGCAGCAGGGUCGUCGCAGUGGCCACGGGCUGACCCGGAGCACGGCUCUGCAGGAUUCUACCCUCAUCUGUAAGAGAACACAGAAAAGUCCCAGAUGAAUGUAGAGCAAAGCAAAUACCUGCUUCCCAGAUGACUGGUCCCAAGGAGAUGGCUACAGUGUCAUGGUGGCUGUGACAUUAGCGGUGGGAUCAGAGGUUGGACUUGAGAGCAGUAGUGACUUCCGUCAUAUUGGGAAACCUUUCCUAAUGGGCACAGUUGCACUGGGUAAGAAUCCAUCCAUCAUGUUUUUUUCUAUUUGACGUCUUCUUUGAUUGUCUUUUUUUUUUAGUUUGAUAAUAUGAAGGG